UACGUAGGCAGCGAGCGUUGUUCGGAGUUACUGGGCGUAAAGGGUGUGUAGGCGGUUUUCUAAGUCUGGUGUGAAAUCUCCCGGCUCAACUGGGAGGGUGCGCCGAAAACUGGAAGGCUAGAGUGCGGGAUGGGUAAGUGGAAUUCCUGGUGUAGCGGUGAAAUGCGUAGAUAUCAGGAGGAACACCCGUGGCGAAAGCGGCUCUCUGGGACGGUACUGACGCUGAGGAGCGAAAGCGUGGGGAGCGAACAGG
rnacentral:rRNA from 1 species